rnacentral:SRP_RNA from 1 species
GCCGGGCGUGGUGGUGCACGCCUGUAAUCCCAGCUACUCAGGAGGCCGAGACAGGAGAAUCGCUUGAACCCGGGAGGUGGAGGUUGCAGUGAGCCGAGAUCGCACCACUGCACUCUGGCCUGGGCAACAGAGCGAGACCCUAUCUCAG